CGACGAUCAGUAGCGGGUCUGAGAGGAUGAUCCGCCACACUGGGACUGAGACACGGCCCAGACUCCUACGGGAGGCAGCAGUGGGGAAUUUUGGACAAUGGGCGCAAGCCUGAUCCAGCCAUGCCGCGUGUCUGAAGAAGGCCUUCGGGUUGUAAAGGACUUUUGUCAGGGAAGAAAAGGCUGUUGCUAAUAUCGACAGCUGAUGACGGUACCUGAAGAAUAAGCACCGGCUAACUACGUGCCAGCAGCCGCGAUAAUACGUAGGGUGCGAGCGUUAAUCGGAAUUACUGGGCGUAAAGCGAGCGCAGACGGUUACUUAAGCAGGAUGUGAAAUCCCCGGGCUCAACCUGGGAACUGCGUUCUGAACUGGGUGACUAGAGUGUGUCAGAGGGAGGUAGAAUUCCACGUGUAGCAGUGAAAUGCGUAGGGAUGUGGAGGAAUACCGAUGGCGAAGGCAGCCUCCUGGGAUAACACUGACGUUCAUGCUCGAAAGCGUGGGUAGCAAACAGGAUUAGAUACCCUGGUAGUCCACGCCCUAAACGAUGUCAAUUAGCUGUUGGGCAACUUGAUUGCUUAGUAGCGUAGCUAACGCGUGAAAUUGACCGCCUGGGGAGUACGGUCGCAAGAUUAAAACUCAAAGGAAUUGACGG
rnacentral:rRNA from 1 species